GACGAACGCUGGCGGCGUGCUUAACACAUGCAAGUCGAGCGGAAAGGCCACUUCGGUGGUACUCGAGCGGCGAACGGGUGAGUAACACGUGAGUAAUCUGCCCUUCACUUUGGGAUAACCCCCGGAAACGGGAGCUAAUACCGGAUACGACCUUCAACCGCAUGGUUUGUCGGUGGAAACUUUUUUGGGUGGGGGAUGUGCUCGCGGCCUAUCAGCUUGUUGGUGGGGUAAUGGCCUACCAAGGCUUUGACGGGUAGCCGGCCUGAGAGGGUGACCGGCCACACUGGGACUGAGACACGGCCCAGACUCCUACGGGAGGCAGCAGUGGGGAAUAUUGGACAAUGGGCGGAAGCCCGAUCCAGCAACGCCGCGUGAGGGAUGACGGCCUUUGGGUUGUAAACCUCUUUCAGCACCGACGAAGCGCAAGUGACGGUAGGUGCAGAAGAAGGACCGGCCAACUACGUGCCAGCAGCCGCGGUAAUAC
rnacentral:rRNA from 1 species